rnacentral:rRNA from 1 species
CUCCUGUCGCAUGGUGGGGGGUGGAAAGGGUUUGUACUGGUUGUGGAUGGGCUCACGGCCUAUCAGCUUGUUGGUGGGGUAAUGGCCUACCAAGGCGACGACGGGUAGCCGGCCUGAGAGGGUGACCGGCCACACUGGGACUGAGACACGGCCCAGACUCCUACGGGAGGCAGCAGUGGGGAAUAUUGCACAAUGGGCGCAAGCCUGAUGCAGCGACGCCGCGUGAGGGAUGACGGCCUUCGGGUUGUAAACCUCUUUCAGCACGGAAGAAGCGAAAGUGACGGUACGUGCAGAAGAAGCGCCGGCUAACUACGUGCCAGCAGCCGCGGUAAUACGUAGGGCGCAAGCGUUGUCCGGAAUUAUUGGGCGUAAAGAGCUCGUAGGCGGUUUGUCGCGUCUGCUGUGAAAGCCCGGGGCUUAACCCCGGGUGUGCAGUGGGUACGGGCAGACUUGAGUGCAGUAGGGGAGACUGGAACUCCUGGUGUAGCGGUGAAAUGCGCAGAUAUCAGGAAGAACACCGAUGGCGAAGGC